rnacentral:rRNA from 1 species
UACGGGGGGGGCAAGCGUUGUUCGGAAUUACUGGGCGUAAAGAGCGCGCAGGCGGUCGUGCAAGUCGCGUGUGAAAGCCCCCGGCUCAACUGGGGAGGGUCACGCGAUACUGCUCGACUCGAAGGCAGGAGAGGGAAGUGGAAUUCCCGGUGUAGUGGUGAAAUGCGUAGAUAUCGGGAGGAACACCAGUGGCGAAGGCGGUUCUCUGGGACGGUACUGACGCUGAGACGCGAAAGCGUGGGGAGCGAACAGG